rnacentral:rRNA from 1 species
AGUGAACGCUGGCGGUAGGCCUAACACAUGCAAGUCGAACGGCAGCACAGUAAGAGCUUGCUCUUACGGGUGGCGAGUGGCGGACGGGUGAGGAAUACAUCGGAAUCUACUUUUUCGUGGGGGAUAACGUAGGGAAACUUACGCUAAUACCGCAUACGACCUACGGGUGAAAGCAGGGGAUCUUCGGACCUUGCGCGAUUGAAUGAGCCGAUGUCGGAUUAGCUAGUUGGCGGGGUAAAGGCCCACCAAGGCGACGAUCCGUAGCUGGUCUGAGAGGAUGGUCAGCCACACUGGAACUGAGACACGGUCCAGACUCCUACGGGAGACAGCAGUGGGGAAUAUUGGACAAUGGGCGCAAGCCUGAUCCAGCCAUACCGCGUGGGUGAAGAAGGCCUUCGGGUUGUAAAGCCCUUUUGUUGGGAAAGAAAAGCAGCAGGUUAAUACCCCGCUGUUCUGACGGUACCCAAAGAAUAAGCACCGGCUAACUUCGUG